AAAAAUCUUUGCACCUGACCUGACAACAGGUCCUCGCAAGAGUAGCAGGUUUUCCAAGAUAAUUGGGCAAGAAAACUAGACCAACUUUCAACUAUCAGGCAAUGCUCUGACACAUGCAGUAGAGAAAGGCUGGUGUUAAAAAGGGUGCUAAAAAGAGACUGGACCCCCAGAAGACUUGCAUGGGACCCUGACACAAAGAUAAUG